rnacentral:rRNA from 1 species
CAGUCGCCACGGUAAUACGGAGGGGGCUAGCGUUGUUCGGAAUUACUGGGCGUAAAGCGCACGUAGGCGGCUUGGUAAGUUAGAGGUGAAAGCCCAGGGCUCAACCCUGGAAUUGCCUUUAAGACUGCCGAGCUAGUAGGUGAGAGAGGUAAGUGGAAUUCCGAGUGUAGAGGUGAAAUUCGUAGAUAUUCGGAAGAACACCAGUGGCGAAGGCGGCUUACUGGCUCAUUCUAGACGCUGAGGUGCGAAAGCGUGGGGAGCAAACAGGAUUAGAUACCCCCGUAGUCCCUGUCUCUUAUAC